AUACGGAGGAUGCGAGCGUUAUCCGGAUUUAUUGGGUUUAAAGGGAGCGUAGGUGGGAUAUUAAGUCAGCUGUGAAAGUUUGGGGCUCAACCUUAAAAUUGCAGUUGAUACUGGUUUCCUUGAGUACGGUAUAGGUGGGCGGAAUUCGUGGUGUAGCGGUGAAAUGCUUAGAUAUCACGAAGAACUCCGAUCGUGAAGGCAGCUCACCGGGCCGGAACUGACACUGAUGCUCGAAAGUGCGGGUAUCAAACAGGAUUAGAUACCCUGGUAGUCCGCACAGUAAACGAUGAAUACUCGCUGUGUGCGAUACACUGUAAGCGGCCAAGCGAAAGCGUUAAGUAUUCCACCUGGGGAGUACGCCGGCAACGGUGAAACUCAAAGGAAUUGACGGGG
rnacentral:rRNA from 1 species